AGUGUCGGCGUUUACAUUUCCGGAUUGCGUGUACUCAAUACGAAGGUUUUAUAAUACGCCUAGUGACGUGAUGCGCGUAUAUGUGCGCCGACUGAAGCAGCGGUUUUCUUCUACGCGUUCGGGUCCGCGGCUCUUGCGAUUUUUAAAUCCGAAUUAGAGACGACCGCUCCGUCGCGAACAAUGACGACAAUACAAAUUGAAACAAACAAACGGACCGCGUUACU